rnacentral:rRNA from 1 species
UACGUAGGGUGCGAGCGCUAAUCGGAAUUACUGGGCGUAAAGCGUACGCAGGCGGCUGCGCAAGACAGGUGUGAAAUCCCCGGGCCCAACCUGGGAACUGCAUUUGUGACUGCGCAGCUAGAGUCUGUAAGAGGGGGGUGGAAUUCCACGUGUAGCAGUGAAAUGCGUAGAUAUGUGGAGGAACACUGAUGGCGAAGGCAGCCCCUUGGGAUGAGACUGACGCUCAUGUACGAAAGCGUGGGGAGCAAACAGG